rnacentral:lncRNA from 10 species
ACAACUCUGAAAGAAAACAGGGAAAAUACACCUACUAACAGCCUGGAGGAAUUAUGAAAUGUGCUUUGCACAACUCCCUGUGGCCUCAGAAAUGGAACUUAGCAGACAGAGGGAACAAAUGAAUCGGUGUGAACAGACGACCAGGAUCUGUGAGCUGACAACCAUACUGUGUGAGCACCAGAGUUGGGCAGAGUGAUAAAGAAUGAAGACUCAGUUCAGUGUGGUAGUGCCUUCUUGGGUAAGUGCACAGGAGUUUCUUCCUGGUAUUUCCACAGUGAGUAGAAUAAAGAUCCUUCUACAGACAUACCCUUCAUUCACAUGAGGCCAAAGCUCUUUGUGUGGUAGGGUCUGGUAAGUAAGGUUGUUGCAACUUGCCUUAAAAAAUUCAACCAGGUAAAAUUACUGAUGUUUGCAGUCUUAGCCUGCACAUUGCUUCUGAUGCUGUUCACAACCCUCAAACCUCAUGAUGGGAAAUAGGAGCUUCAAUGACUCUGGACCAGAAAUUGACGAGCCUUAGAAAUAGUGCUGCACUGGAAAACACGGAGCCAAAAUGAUUGAAAAUUGUGCAAUAAGGGAAAUAAUCUGAACAGACUUGGAGGCUCCAGAGAAGAAUUUACGAGGUUAUGGUUGCAGACACCAUCCAAGUGAAGGACAAGAAAAACUCAUCUCUGACAUUGAUGAUCUGGAAAACAGAAAGAGCAGUCAAAAUUGAAAAUAAGCUGGUGUCCUGAACAGGAAGAUAGAUAUUUUCUUACCUACCAGACUGCCGUGAGAUCCUUGAGUUGUUUGCCUUUGAACAGAAACAUUUUCCAAAAUGAAGAAAGCUAUAAGGAAAAUGCUACAAUCCUGGUGCACACUAUGUUAAUUAUGGCCUAAUAGGAAUAUAAUACCAACAGCAAGCCAGAGAGAAAUCAGAUUGCAAACAUCAGAACUCUAUUGUCCAAGUAUUUCCAGACAGUUAUCUUGGCAUUGGCCAAACUCUGGGUUUUGGUUAGAAUUAGGAAUAAAAUAAUAGAAGGAGGUCUCCUUUUGGAGGGCCCUCUGUUAGACCAGAUUUGAUUUUUCUUUAACACCUUUCAUAUGAACAUCUUGGAAAUACUAAUUAUUUCACACAACAAUCCUGUGAGUAAUGUAGCCCUUAAAACCUCAGGUUGAACGAGCUGAGGAAUCAAGUAGAAAUAUAUCUUAUUAAAGGAGACUGAAGCUUUUCUAUUACCAAUUUCCUAAGAAAGUGUUUGGAAAGAAAACUUCAGGAAAUUCCUAAAAUUGUG